rnacentral:lncRNA from 1 species
CCUGGGUCCACAGCACCCCCGGGGACCCAGGACAAGAGGGAGAUCUUGAGGGAGCUGUACAGAGUGACCACCAGAGGAGGCUGCCUCCAGGGAGCAGGCUGGGGCUCCAGAAGACCUCAAACCUGGCAAAGUGCCAUUCCCAGAGCAGCUUGUCGUCUGGCUCUUCCCUGAUGCUCUGGCCUGAAAACAAGGAGCUGAGUGAUCCUGAGGCCCCAGGCCUAGAGGUCCCCCUCACCCAGCAGCCACAGGGCCUGGUGCUGGGCAGCCCAGGACCUGUGAGAAAGGACCUGACCCGGGCCCUGGGUGACUAUGCCAGGGUGGAGCAAUGCCUGGG